rnacentral:lncRNA from 1 species
CAGUCAUGCAACAUUCUGACAUAUGCUGAUCACAAGCCUGCUCUACUGCUUUAGCAGUGGUGACAGACUCAUGAGAUGAAAGAUGGGAGGCCGAAGCAACAGCAACCGCCGCCCUACAUUAUCUCACCUGAGGAUAAGACAGCAUAAAGUAUAGCAAUUAUGAUAUCCAUAUCUCAGUCAUUUAGCUAUCCAUCUAAAUUUGAUAUCAGAGAUCAUAAUGAUGUUAUUGGUUCCUGCAAAAGGUUGGCACUCAUUUCUUUGCUUGACUGCCUCCUCAGUCUCUCCUGAAUGCAGUCUCUAAUGGCAGUUUCCUGUCAGCAAAACACCACAGACAAUUGAGUGCAAGCCAGAUGUAAACUGUAAUUACAACAGAGGCAGAAGGUUAAACUCUGAUAACCCACCAUGAUAUGACAUCCUCAAAUUUCUCAAGAAAUCCUGCAUCUGUCACAGUUCCACAUAAUGUAACACCUCUAUGAAUUGGGGAAAAAACAGGAGUCAAUAAUACUAUACAGAAAAAUUCUCAAAAAAUUACACUAUCCAGGAAGGGG